UAUGUUGUUUGUCUAUAUAUUUCUCCACUCUCUGAAGCCUUUCAUUCUGUCAAAGAAAAUAAAAAAGAAUUGCCGCAUCUCCCUCAGAGCUGGAGUUAUGGAAUCAAGCUGCUCUUUCAAAGUUCCCGCCAUCUUUUCUGGCUGAUCAGACACGUCCAAUCAACAUAUUCUAUUGGAUGGAACAAGUUUGGAGGAUAAUCAUUGCGUACCCGUCCAGGAAGAGAGCGUUCUCCAAGGGACAACAGAAGAUGCGUAAACUCAGCCUCGGCUUCUGCAAGUUCUUGAUGAAGUCGAGAUCUCGACACGUUUGCGCCAUCAACUUUUUUCCGGUUGAAAGUAGAAUGGAGAGAGGUUAGGGAUACCAAGAGUGUGAAGGACUCAAUGAAACUGAUAAAGACAUUGGCGUUAGUGACUUCACAGCUUGAAGAACUUAGAACACAAAACUCAAACCAACGAAUUGCUUCCUCCAUAGGUAUUGUUAUAUUAUAUGCAUUACAUCCAAAUAU